CUGGGCUCCCUGGCUGCGCACCGCGUGGCCAUGGUUGACCGGCAGCCAUGGAGACCCUGGUGGACUGGAGGAUGUGUUGCAGGGAAGAACAGGCCCUGGAGAGGUGGCAGCCUAGAGUCCAGAUCAAGGACAGGACCUCUCUGAAGGGAGACAGCCAUCCCGGCUAAUCUUUUCUGAGGCUAAUCUCUGCAAGGACAGUGAAGAAAGGCACACCCUGGAAACUCACCGAUUUUAGCUUUUUCCCCAUUCACUAUGCCUAUGUAAAAGCUGGUUUGAAAUGAAAUGUCAGAGCAGUCUUUUCAGGGUGUUACACCUGCUGCCCAGAUGCCGGCUAUCUGAUUAAUAAAACGCACCGUAAAGGUUCAA